rnacentral:rRNA from 1 species
CCUACGGGUGGCAGCAGUGGGGAAUAUUGCACAAUGGGGGAAAGCCUGAUGCAGCGACGCAGCGUGAAGGAAGACAGCCCUACGGGUUGUAAACUCCUUUCAUAAGGGAGUAAAGUGACGAACGUGUACCAUCAUGUGUAGACUUGAUGAAUACGGUGCGCCUAACUCCGUGCCAGCAGCCGCGGUAAUACGGAGGAUACAAGCGUUAUCCGGAUUGAUUGGGUGUAAAGGGAGCGUAGAUGGGUUGUUAAGUCGGGUGUGAAAGUUGGCGGCUCAACCCGCAAAUUGCAAUUGAUACUGGGAGCCUUGAGUACAGUUGAGGUAGGCGGAAUUCGUGGUGUAGCAGUGAAAUGCUUAGAUAUCACGAGGAACACCGGUGGCGAAGGCGGCCUACUAGACUGUAACUGACGCUGAGGCUCGAAAGUGUGGGGAUCAAACAGGAUUAGAUACCCCUGUAGUC